rnacentral:rRNA from 1 species
AGCGAACGCUGGCGGCAGGCCUAACACAUGCAAGUCGAACGAACCUUUCGGGGUUAGUGGCGGACGGGUGAGUAACACGUGGGAACGUGCCUUUAGGUUCGGAAUAACUCAGGGAAACUUGUGCUAAUACCGAAUGUGCCCUUCGGGGGAAAGAUCUAUCGCCUUUAGAGCGGCCCGCGUCUGAUUAGCUAGUUGGUUGAGGUAAUGGCUCACCAAGGCGACGAUCAGUAGCUGGUCUGAGAGGAUGAUCAGCCACAUUGGGACUGAGACACGGCCCAAACUCCUACGGGAGGCAGCAGUGGGGAAUCUUGCGCAAUGGGCGAAAGCCUGACGCAGCCAUGCCGCGUGAAUGAUGAAGGUCUUAGGAUUGUAAAAUUCUAUCACCGGGGACGAUAAUGACGGUACCCGGAGAAGAAGCCCCGGCUAACUUCGUG